UUUUUCUUCCUCUUCUUUUUCUUUCUUCCCUCUCCCUUCCUUCUGUGCCCGGCUAUCUUCCUAUGAUCUCUUCUCUUUUCUUCUUAAUUCUUACGUAUUUUCCUAAAAUUAUUUUUCUCCCUUUUUUUUCUUUUCUUCGUCUCUUAAAAAGGAGGCAAAGACAUUACAAACCGAAGAUCUACUUGUUAAGUAAGUCAAAAAAAUUAUAGUUUAAUUUUUUGCUUAUAUAUUUUUACUAUUUUUUAUUUGUAAAGCUUAUUUUUUGAAAAAAUAUAAAAUUAGGCAACUUAUAAAGUUCAUAAAAAGUUGAAAAAAGAUGUACUUGAUUUAAUCAUUAUACAGGAAAAUUUUAAAUUUACAUAUCUGAUCCAUACUGCAAGGGGCUUCGCCCCCUGCACCCCCCUCGAUAUCAGUCCGAGUCCGCAACCAAUCAUUGACAUCUACUUUUUCUUCGCAAAUUAUUUUAUCAAAAUUUGUCACACCACGAAGCGUUUAGCGAAUCAGGGGAACAAAAAUCAAACUUGAUAAACAAAUUUUGAAGCACAUCUAACAUAAAAUUUUAUUUUUUUAUUAGAAGAUUGAAAAUGGUGAUAAAAUUAAAAAUUAAAUUAAAUCAAUUGAUACUUAAAAUUUAUUUAUACCAACAUUGUCAAGUAAAUCUUGUAUCUGCAUAUGACAAUAUGACAUAUGAUCUACCGUGACGAUCUAUAUAGAACUAAGCAGUCAUCUCUCUAUAAAGAUGUAAAUUUAAAUAAUUAUUGCACUUAUGAAUUUUAUUAUUGUAUUUUAAUUCCUAUUCUCUAUCAGGUAUAGUUGUACUUUACAUACAAAAAGGCUUACCAAUAUGUUAUUUGAUGAGUAUAGUAAGCUACACAUAACAAAUAUUCCUAAUUAUUUGACUAAAUCUUUCAAAAAAAUAUUAUAAGAGUUUAUUGGAAUAAAAAAAAAUUAAAAUAAGUCUGUGUCAAAGCAUGCCAGUAGGAGGUCAUGCAUAUCCAUCGGCACGCAAGCGUACCAGGUAUCGGCAUUGAAGCGUGCCAGUGUCAUACCGUGCCAGGUAGUGAGCGGCACUUUAAUCCUUGGAUAGAAGUGU
rnacentral:lncRNA from 1 species